AUUGAACGCUGGCGGCAGGCCUAACACAUGCAAGUCGAACGAGUGGCGGACGGGUGAGUAAUGUCUGGGAAACUGCCUGAUGGAGGGGGAUAACUACUGGAAACGGUAGCUAAUACCGCAUACCAUCGGAUGUGCCCAGAUGGGAUUCGCUAGUAGGUGGGGUAAAGGCUCACCUAGGCGACGAUCCCUCGCUGGUCUGAGAGGAUGACCAGCCAAACGGGAACUGGGACGCGGUCCAGACGCCUACGGGAGGAAGAAGGGGGGAAUAUGGCACAAGGGGCGCAAGCAUGAUGAAGCCAGGCCGCGUGUAUGAAGAAGGCUGUCGGGUUGUAAAGUACUUUCAGCGGGGAGGCGUUACCCGCAGAAGAAGCACCGGCUAACUCCGUGCCAGCAGCCGCGGUAAUA
rnacentral:rRNA from 1 species